rnacentral:rRNA from 1 species
GACGAACGCUGGCGGCGUGCUUAACACAUGCAAGUCGAACGGAAAGGCCCUGCUUUUGUGGGGUGCUCGAGUGGCGAACGGGUGAGUAACACGUGAGUAACCUGCCCUUGACUUUGGGAUAACUUCAGGAAACUGGGGCUAAUACCGGAUAGGAGCUCCUGCGGCAUGGUGGGGGUUGGAAAGUUUCGGCGGUUGGGGAUGGACUCGCGGCUUAUCAGCUUGUUGGUGGGGUAGUGGCUUACCAAGGCUUUGACGGGUAGCCGGCCUGAGAGGGGGACCGGCCACAUUGGGACUGAGAUACGGCCCAGACUCCUACGGGAGGCAGCAGUGGGGAAUAUUGCACAAUGGGCGGAAGCCUGAUGCAGCAACGCCGCGUGCGGGAUGACGGCCUUCGGGUUGUAAACCGCUUUCGCCUGUGACGAAGCGUGAGUGACGGUAAUGGGUAAAGAAGCACCGGCUAACUACGUG